CGGACGUAGGUAACCUGCCUGGUAGCGGGGGAUAACUAUUGGAAACGAUAGCUAAUACCGCAUAAGAGUAGAUGUUGCAUGACAUUUACUUAAAAGGUGCAAUUGCAUCACUACCAGAUGGACCUGCGUUGUAUUAGCUAGUUGGUGGGGUAACGGCUCACCAAGGCGACGAUACAUAGCCGACCUGAGAGGGUGAUCGGCCACACUGGGACUGAGACACGGCCCAG
rnacentral:rRNA from 1 species